AAUCCACAUAGAAAUGGCCGUCCACGAGGGCGGAGGAAAAAUCGUGCAUACAUUAUCCUCCGUAUACAACCAGCUAAUAUCAAUACCACCAACAAGUGUGGAGUCGGAAAGGGCAUUUUCGGCAGCUGGGGUGUUCUGUAACCGUAUGAGGACGAGGUUAAGUGACGAAUCUCUUGAUGCGGUGAUAUUUUGUUAUUGGCGUAGCAGUGUACGCAUUCUGUUUUUUUUAUUUUUAAUAAAAACAACUUAAUUUGAUUGUUUGUUUCACUUUGCCUUUAUGCCACAUAUUCCUUUCUUAAAAUCCGGAUUGAAUCCGAACUUCGGAUUUCGGUCAAACCAAAAUCCGAAAAUCCGGAUUUGAAAAAAUGUUCACGGAUUUGCAAUCGCU